UCUGAACUUUGAAUGCCCUUAAUGCU
rnacentral:piRNA from 1 species